rnacentral:rRNA from 1 species
AUUGAACGCUGGCGGCAUGCCUUACACAUGCAAGUCGAACGGUAACGGGCCUUCGGGUGCCGACGAGUGGCGAACGGGUGAGUAAUACAUCGGAACGUGCCCGAUCGUGGGGGAUAACGAGGCGAAAGCUUUGCUAAUACCGCAUACGGUCUACGGAUGAAAGCAGGGGACCGCAAGGCCUUGCGCGGACGGAGCGGCCGAUGGCAGAUUAGGUAGUUGGUGGGAUAAAAGCUUACCAAGCCGACGAUCUGUAGCUGGUCUGAGAGGAUGAUCAGCCACACUGGGACUGAGACACGGCCCAGACUCCUACGGGAGGCAGCAGUGGGGAAUUUUGGACAAUGGGCGCAAGCCUGAUCCAGCCAUGCCGCGUGCAGGAUGAAGGCCUUCGGGUUGUAAACUGCUUUUGUACGGAACGAAAAGCCUUCUUUUAAUACAGGAGGGUCAUGACGGUACCGUAAGAAUAAGCACCGGCUAACUACGUG